CCUACGGGUGGCAGCAGUGGGGAAUAUUGGACAAUGGGGGAAACCCUGAUGCAGCGACGCCGCGUGAGUGAGGAAGUAUUUCGGUAUGUAAAGCUCUAUCAGCAGGGAAGAAAAUGACGGUACCUGACCAAUAAGCCCCGGCUAACUACGUGCCAGCAGCCGCGGUAAUACGUAGGGGGCAAGCGUUAUCCGGAUUUACUGGGUGUAAAGGGAGCGUAGACGGCUUGUCAAGUCAGAAGUGAAAGUCCAGGGCUCAACCUUGGAACUGCUUUUGAAACUGUGAAGCUGGAGUGCAGGAGAGGUAAGCGGAAUUCCUAGUGUAGCGGUGAAAUGCGUAUAUAUUAGGAGGAACACCAGUGGCGAAGGCGGCUUACUGGACUGUAACUGACGUUGAGGCUCGAAAGCGUGGGGAGCAAACAGGAUUAGAUACCCGAGUAGUC
rnacentral:rRNA from 1 species